CCUACGGGAGGCAGCAGUGGGGAAUAUUGCACAAUGGGCGAAAGCCUGAUGCAGCAACGCCGCGUGAAGGAAGAAGGCCUUCGGGUCGUAAACUUCUGUCCUUGGGGAAGAAGAACUGACGGUACCCAAGGAGGAAGCCCCGGCUAACUACGUGCCAGCAGCCGCGGUAAUAGGUAGGGGGCAAGCGUUAUCCGGAAUUAUUGGGCGUAAGGAGUACGUAGGUGGCAACCUAAGCCCAGGGGUUAAGGCAAGGGCUAAACCAUUGUUCGCCCUGCAAACUGGGAUGCUUGAGUGCAGGAGAGGAAAGCGGAAUUCGUGGUGUAGCGGUGAAAUGCGUAGAUAUUAGGAGGAACACCAGUGGCGAAGGCAGCUUUCUGGACUGUAACUGACACUGAGGUACGAAAGCGUGGGGAGCAAACAGGAUUAGAUACCCCAGUAGUC
rnacentral:rRNA from 1 species